UACGUAGGCAGCAAGCGUUGUUCGGAAUUACUGGGCGUAAAGGGCGCGUAGGCGGUUCGUUAAGUCCUGUGUGAAAUCCCACGGCUCAACUGGGGAACUGCACAGGAAACUGGCGGGCUUGAGUUCGGGAGAGGGAAGCGGAAUUCCGGGUGUAGCGGUGAAAUGCGUAGAUAUCCGGAGGAACACCGGUGGCGAAGGCGGCUUCCUGGACCGACACUGACGCUGAGGCGCGAAAGCUAGGGGAGCAAACGGA
rnacentral:rRNA from 1 species